rnacentral:rRNA from 1 species
CACACGAUAGGUCGAAGAGUGGUGCAUGGCCGUUAACGACGAGUGGAGUGAUCUUUGGGUUAAGUCCGUAAAUUAGUGAGACCUCAGCCGUAAGGGACAGGUGCGCAAAGCACAGGAAGGAUGGGUCAAGGACAGGUCAUCGAUGCCCUUAGAUGGUCCGGGCUGCACGCGCACUACAGUGGUCGCCGAAAUUACCUGAUAAUUUUAAAGGCGAUCGAGAGGGAAUGAGCUUUGUAAGAGGCUCAGGAACGAGGAAUUGCUAGUAAUCGCGGACUCAUAUAGACGCAAUAAAAAGUCCCUGUUCUUUGUACACACCGCCCGUCGUUAUCGAAGAUGAAGACAGGCGCGAACGAUCUACCAGAAAGUGAGCGCAGGUCUUUAGAUCUGAUACAAGUCGUAACAAGGUAGCUGUAGGAGAACCUGUAGCUGG